GGCGAGGUAGCUCAACCGGUUAGAGCGGCGGUCUCAUAAUCCGCAGGUCGGCGGUUCGAGUCCGCCCCUCGCCA
rnacentral:tRNA from 1 species